UACAGAGGGGGCAAGCGUUGUUCGGAAUUACUGGGCGUAAAGGGCGCGUAGGCGGCCUGCUAAGUCGAACGUGAAAUCCCCAGGCUCAACCUGGGAACUGCAUCCGAUACUGGAUGGCUUGAAUUCGGGAGAGGGAUGCAGAAUUCCAGGUGUAGCGGUGAAAUGCGUAGAUAUCUGGAGGAAUACCGGUGGCGAAGGCGGCAUCCUGGACCGACAUUGACGCUGAUGAGCGAAAGCUAGGGGAGCAAACGGG
rnacentral:rRNA from 1 species